CGAGGAUUCCCCUAAU
rnacentral:rRNA from 1 species